rnacentral:rRNA from 1 species
GUAGUCUCGCACAGAUGCAUAUCAAUAAGCGGAGGAAAAGAAACUAACAAGGAUUCCCCUAGUAACGGCGAGUGAAGCGGGAAGAGCUCAAAUUUGAAAUCUUAAAGGGUUUCCCUUUACGAAUUGUAGUUUAAAGAAGUGUUUUCUGUUGAGGUUUUGGUAAAAGUUCUUUGGAAUAGGACAUCAUAGAGGGUGAGAAAUCCCGGUAUUUGACCUUUACUUUCAACUUUGUGAUACACUUUCAAAGAGUCGGAUUGUUUGGGAAUGCAGUCCAAAAUGGGUGGUAAAUUUCAUCUAAAGCUAAAUAUUGGCGAGAGACCGAUAGCGAACAAGUACCGUGAGGGAAAGAUGAAAAGAACUUUGAAAAGAGAGUUAAACAGUACGUGAAACUGUCAAAAGGGAAGCGUUUGACACCAGUGUUGUUUUUCUGAAAAUCAAUUAAAGAACUGUUUAUGCUAAGCUGUUUAGACUUUAUCAGCUAACUGUUUAGUUUUGAGCUUUUCUUUAAUGCACUUUUCAGUUAACAAGUCAACAUCAAUUUCUUUUGCUGUAAAAAAGCUUGAGGAAGGUGGCUUGAGAUUCGUCUUAAGUGUUUAUAGCCUCUUGCCUAUGCAGUCGGAGAGAUUGAGGUCUGCAGCGUAGAUCCUUCGGGGCUAAAUGCAUUUGUGCUAAGUUAUAGCAUUUUAUAGACAACUUGUUGACUAUGAUUUGUCUUGUAGCUUACUCGCUUAUGUUAUUUUACCUACGCUUAGGAUGUUGAAGACUCUACAGAGAUA